rnacentral:rRNA from 1 species
GACGAACGCUGGCGGCGUGCUUAACACAUGCAAGUCGAACGGAAAGGCGCUGCCUUUGUUGGUGGCUCUGGUGGCGAGCGGGAGGGUAACACGAGACGAACCUACCCUGCACUUUGGUAUAACUUCACCGAACGGGGGCGUAGCCCAGAUAGGAUCUCCUGCUGCUUGGGGGUGGUUGGAAAGUUUCGGCGGUUGUGUAUGUACGCUGGGCUUUUGAGCCUUUUGGGGGGGUAGUUGCUUAGCACGGCUUUGACGGGUGGCCGGCCUGAGAGGGUGGCCGGCAACAUUGGGACUGAGAUACGGGCCAGACGCCUACGGGAGGCAGCAGUGGGGAAUAGUGCGAAACGGGGGGAAGCCUGAUGCAGCAACGGCGCGUGCGUGAUGAAGGCCUUCGGGUUGUAAACCGCGCUCGCCUGUGACGUGGGGGGAGUGACGGUAGUGGGUAAAGAAGCACCGGCUAACUACGUG